rnacentral:rRNA from 1 species
UACGUAGGGGGCAAGCGUUGUCCGGAAUCAUUGGGCGUAAAGCGCGUGUAGGCGGCCUUGUAAGUCCGUUCUGAAAGUCCGGGGCUCAACCCCGGGAGGCGGAUGGAUACUGCAAGGUUCGAGUCCGGAAGAGGCAAGUGGAAUUCCCGGUGUAGCGGUGAAAUGCGCAGAUAUCGGGAGGAACACCAAUGGCGAAGGCAGCUUGCUGGGACGGUACUGACGCUGAGACGCGAAAGCGUGGGGAGCGAACAGG